rnacentral:ncRNA from 1 species
GUUCGAGAAAUGCGGGUUGUAGUUGAUGAAGGUGAAACCGCGGGCCUGGUCGAUCACGUGGAACAGCGGGUUCCAGUCGAACCAGGCGAGCAUGAAGCCCGGCAGCGUGUUGGCCAGGAACAUCUUGCCCGAGGCGAUCAUGUUGGCCCGG